rnacentral:misc_RNA from 1 species
UUCAUUUAAUAACUAUAUUAUUAUAAGAAUUAAAAUUAAAUACAGCAAAUGAAAUUAACCUCAAAAUGUGAACUCAAAUAUCCCCAGAAGAGCCAAACCACAAUGCCUUCCAAUCAUUUUUCACUUGAGACAAAAAAAAAAAAAUCAAUAAAAUAAAAUAAUUCAACAAGUUGAAAUCUUCAAUCAUUUUCCUCUCUAUGAAUGCUUGCAAUCCUUUUUAAGUUGAAGCCAGUACUUGCAUUUCCUAAAUUCCUAGCAAAUUAUCCUCUCUCUUGUGCUUAGCUUAGCCCUCUUCUCCUUCAAACAAUAAAGACGACACCCUUUGCUUCCUCUCUCUCACAUACACAUAAACAGCCCUCUGUCUCUUAAGCUUUUGAUGUUUCCUUAAAAUCCUUCCACAAGGACACAAGACACAGUUUGUUGUCUUUCUUCUCUCCCUUGCAUGCAACAGAGUUCUCUGCUUUACUUGCCGCUUUUACAAUGAAGUAUAUAAGAGCCAACAGCUUGAAAAGGCUUUUCUCAUUAAAAAGACGUGGACUUGAAGAAGGAAUCGCCAUUGAUGAAGACAAGAAUGGAAUCUCUAACUGUAAGUUUGUUCAAGAACCAGAGCAUUCUUCAAGACCCGGUUGGAGAUGUUUCUCCUAUCAAGAAAUAUUUGAGGCCACAAAUGGUUUUAGCCCAGGUUUUUAUAUGUCUAUGCAGAUUUAUAUUUCUCUUAUUUGUGUCAUUUUUUUGUUCUCAAAUUUAGUUUUUGUUAUGUGGGUUUCAGAGAACCUGGUGGGAAAAGGAGGAUAUGCAGAGGUUUACAGGGGAGUGUUAAGAGAUGGAGAAAAGAUUGCAAUAAAAAGGCUAACAAGAGCUGGUAAUGAUGAGAGGAAAGAGAAGGAGUUCCUGACAGAGAUUGGUACAAUUGGUCAUGUAUCUCAUCCCAAUGUGUUGUCUCUUCUAGGAUGUUGCGUUGAUAAUGGGCUUUAUCUCAUCUUCAAUUACUCCUCCAGAGGCUCUGUUGCUUCCCUUCUCCAUGGUAAUCAGAGCAACUAAUAUACCCUAUACCCAGUUUGAUUCCUUCCUGGGUUUUGUUUGUUUUGCAAUGUUUUGAUAUCUUGUGCUCUUAAAUUUGGUUUUUCAGAUGAGAAACUUCCAGUUAUGGAUUGGAAAACAAGAUACAAGAUUGCCAUUGGAACUGCCAGAGGGCUCCAUUACUUGCACAAGGGAUGUCAAAGAAGGAUCAUUCACCGAGAUAUUAAAUCUUCAAAUAUUCUUUUGACAGCUGAUUUUGAGCCACUGAUUUCUGAUUUUGGAUUGGCAAAAUGGCUUCCAUCUCAAUGGACUCACCAUUCAAUCGCUCCAAUUGAAGGAACAUUUGGGCAUUUAGCACCUGAGUACUAUUUGCAUGGAGUGGUAGAUGAGAAGACAGAUGUUUUUGCAUUUGGAGUCUUUCUGCUAGAACUUAUUUCUGGCAGGAGACCAGUUGAUGGCUCUCACCAAAGCAUAUGCAGCUGGGCUAAACCAAUAUUGAAACAAGGAGAAACUGAAGAGGUGGUAGAUCCAAGGCUUGGAGGGGCCUAUGAUGCUUCACAGCUGAUAAGACUUGCCUUUGCUGCAUCUCUUUGUAUCCGAGCAUCUUCGACGUGGCGCCCUACCAUGAGUGAGGUAUUGGAAGUAAUGCAAGAGGGGGAAAUGGACAAAGAAAGGUGGAAAAUGCCAAUGGAAGAAGAACAAGAAGAAGAAUUCUGGGGAUUUGAAGAUCUAGAAUGUGAAUGUGAUAGCUCCUUCUCAAUUUCUCCACACGAUUCAAUCUCGACAAAAAGUUCUUUAACCGUGAUGCAUUAGGGAAGCAGCCAUAUUUUACCAGCACGGAAUUGCAGAUGAGGUCUCGAGUUCUAGUCUCAGACCGUCUUUAAAGAAAAGAAAAGACUUGUAAUGCAUUAGGUGCUCAAGUAAAUCCUGACCAACGCAUUAUGCGGCUUGUAAAUACAUCAUAUAUGUUACAUAAAAGAAGUCUUUUUAGUUGCAAUCCUCAUUGAUUUAUGCAUGACAUGAUUUUACUGCUUUUAGAACUUGA